UACAGGGGGGGCAAGCGUUGUUCGGAAUCACUGGGCGUAAAGGGCGCGUAGGCGGCUGGGGAAGUCGGCGGUGAAAGCCCGGAGCUCAACUCCGGGUCGGCCGUCGAGACUCCUCGGCUCGAGCUCACUAGAGGCAGAUGGAAUUCCGGGUGUAGCGGUGGAAUGCGUAGAGAUCCGGAAGAACACCGGUGGCGAAGGCGGUCUGCUGGGGUGAGGCUGACGCUGAUGCGCGACAGCGUGGGGAGCAAACAGG
rnacentral:rRNA from 1 species